rnacentral:rRNA from 1 species
CAGCAGCCGCGGUAAUACGUAGGUGGCAAGCGUUGUCCGGAAUUAUUGGGCGUAAAGCGCGCGCAGGCGGUUUCUUAAGUCUGAUGUGAAAGCCCACGGCUCAACCGUGGAGGGUCAUUGGAAACUGGGRAACUUGAGUGCAGAAGAGAAGAGUGGAAUUCCACGUGUAGCGGUGAAAUGCGUAGAGAUGUGGAGGAACACCAGUGGCGAAGGCGACUCUUUGGUCUGUAACUGACGCUGAGGCGCGAAAGCGUGGGGAGCAAACAGGAUUAGAUACCCUGGUAGUCCACGCCGUAAACGAUGAGUGCUAAGUGUUAGAGGGUUUCCGCCCUUUAGUGCUGCAGCAAACGCAUUAAGCACUCCGCCUGGGGAGUACGGCCGCAAGGCUGAAACUCAAAGGAAUUGAC